GAAAAUUAGGCACAUAAUAUAAGACAUAGUGGACAAAAGAACUCAGAUUUCUAACAGCCUAGUUUCACUAGCUGUUAUUGACUAUGCAAGGUAACUUAGGGCUUAAUUGAAAAGAGGAAAUGUUUUGGACCUGUUAACUUUUUAUAUCUGGUGUACAACAAUAUAUCCUUAAACUACAAAGAACUGUGCCUCUGUGAGUAUAUAAAAUGUCUGAGGAAGUUUUAACAAAAGGAUUGAGGCACAGAAGAAAAUUUCUACAUGUCCCUCCAUACCCUUACACCCAAUAAAAAUGAAAGGGAUAAUGGAUUGAAAAUUCUUUGAACAGCAAUCACCAAGAAUGAAUUGCUGCCCUGCCUCAGGGUGUUUGAUCUCAUAUAUCACUUCAAGAUGAUGACCUGAAAUGCACAUCUGUAACUGUUAUGUCUAUAGAGGCUCUGGUAACAAGCUGGUUUUGGACUUUGCUAGAACGGCCUGCUAUGAACUGCAUCAAGCUAGUGUGGCACCAAAUGAAAAAUAAUAUUAGGACAAUUGUCAACUCAGGCAUUGAACCAAGGAAGAACAGCUAAUCAUAGCUGCACAUUUGCUGGGAAAAAGUGAUGACAAUCAAACAGAGUAACCAACCCUAUUAAGUGACUUUGCAGAGCCCCAUGGCAUGAAAGAUGUUAUAGAGGGAUGAAUUUUUUGUGCAUAGAAUGUAUGUGUAGGUAUGCAUGUGCAAUUUUUAAUAAAUUACAUCCUUUGCUAUCGCUGAA